GCGGGGCGGGAUUGGUCAGGCUGUAUUUAGACCCGUUUUUCAGCGGGCCUCGCGGGAUGGACUUGUGCGGAAUUGGGCCUUUCGCGGGACGGGCUUCUUUGGUCUUGCGGGACAUUUGGGUGAUCCGUCAAAGUUCUUCACUUUAUCUCUUAACCAACCAAAAUAAAAGAGAGGCGAUUUGAUUAUUCUUCGAUUCAGCCACUUCUUCCCUUACGAGUUUCAUCCCUUUUCGAUCACUUGUCCGACAGAAAGUUCUUUGAUUCUUCACUUCGUCCCUUCCGAGUUUCGAUCAACAUCUCUUCUUCUAGUCUUCGUUUUGAAUCAUCUUGGAUUCUGCUAAGUUAUUCAUUAUCUUCUUCUCCUCAUCUUAGUAGAUCUUCCAUGGAUGAACACUGGUUGUUUAGAGACAGAAGAAAACUUGAAGAAACAAAACCGAUGCCAUUAAAGAAGAUAAACAAGCUAUAUGAUCAUAUUAUAUGUAUACGAACUCGAACCCCAAAUUGACAGAUCGUAGAAUCUUGACAUUGAAAAUAUCCUUUUUGGACAUGAUUUUUUUUUUUCAGUUUGAUUGCUCUGUUUUGUAUAUCAACUAAUUGGGCUUUAUGUUGUUCUGAAAUAAUGAUGAGCUUGCAAAUUUGAUAUGUGUUAUUGAAGUUUUUCGGUAUUGUUUUGAGAUACCUUUGUUCU